AGGGAUUGUUCGUGUGUGGCGUAUACGCAGCUGAAUAUCAGUGGCGACGGGAGUGGAUACUUGUUCUACCAUGGCGACUUGAUCGAUAUCAGAGCUAUGGCUUCGUCCGGCCAGGAUCUUUAUAUCAGAAUUGCUGCUUCUGAGCCUGGUGAUGUGGCGAGCACGAACAGCAAUGGCCGAAAUAGAGGGCGAACAAGAACUAUAGUUAUAGCAAGUACUACGUCGGUAGUGGUGAUGGUUUUUGUGUGCCUAAUCUUCGUUUAUGUUUUAUGGCCGGAGGAGAAAGAACUAUCCGAGUAUGAAUGAUGAAGGGCAACUCAUGUGAAAGAAGGGGAGCUGCCGUUCUUUAGCUUGCCUAAGGUCAUGAAAGCUACUGAUAAUAUUUCGAACAAGAACAAACUUGGUGAGGGUGG